rnacentral:tRNA from 1 species
GGAAAGAUAAGCUAAGUUAAGCUAACAGGUUCAUACCCUGCUUAUGGAGGACACUCCUCUUUCUA